GAUGAGAACGCAGCGAAAUGCGAUAAGUAGUGUGAAUUGCAGAAUUCAGUGAAUCAUCGAAUCUUUGAACGCAGAUUGCGCCCCUUGGUAUUCCAUGGGGCAUGCCUGUUCGAGCGUCAUUUGUACCUUCAAGCUUUGCUUGGUGUUGGGUGUUUGUCCUGAGGGACUCGCCUUAAAGUAAUUGGCAGCCAGUGUUUUGGUUUUGAAGCGCAGCACAAGUCGCGAUUCAAAGCUAUACGCCAGCUUCCACAAGCCUUUUUCACUUUUGACCUCGGAUCAGGUAGGGAUACCCGCUGAACUUAAGCAUAUCAAUAAGCGGAGGA
rnacentral:misc_RNA from 1 species